UACGUAGGGUGCAAGCGUUAAUCGGAAUUACUGGGCGUAAAGCGUGCGCAGGCGGUUUUGUAAGUCUGACGUGAAAUCCCCGGGCCCAACCUGGGAAUUGCGUUGGAGACUGCAAGGCUAGAAUCUGGCAGAGGGGGGUAGAAUUCCACGUGUAGCAGUGAAAUGCGUAGAGAUGUGGAGGAACACCGAUGGCGAAGGCAGCCCCCUGGGUCAAGAUUGACGCUCAUGCACGAAAGCGUGGGGAGCAAACAGG
rnacentral:rRNA from 1 species